rnacentral:rRNA from 1 species
UACGAAGGGGGCUAGCGUUGUUCGGAAUCACUGGGCGUAAAGGGCGCGUAGGCGGGAUGGCAAGUCGGUCGUGAAAUCCCUCGGCUCAACCGAGGAACGUCGAUCGAUACUGCUGUUCUUGAGGAUUGCAGAGGAGACUGGAAUUCCCGGUGUAGCGGUGAAAUGUGUAGAGAUCGGGAGGAACACCGGUGGCGAAGGCGGGUCUCUGGGCAAUUCCUGACGCUGAGGCGCGAAAGCGUAGGGAGCAAACGGG